AAUAAAUCAAUAUUUCACUUUUUAUUUAUAAUUUUUGACUCUUCGUCUUAUUUAAUUUUUUUUAUGAUUAACAUUUUUGUUUUUAUUAGAUGAUAAAUCAUGAAUAGUAUUUUACGUGUGACUUAUUUUUUUUAAUAUUUCUUGAAAAAUUUUUAAAUAAAAUGAAUGGUCAAACGCUGGACACGGGAACCGA
rnacentral:pre_miRNA from 1 species